AUGCCUAAGGACAUGUCCCUCCGCCCCGCCGUGGUCUGCUUCGUCGCCUGGAUCCACGAGACCAAGAUGGAGAGCCCCACAUCGCGGGGAUCGAGCUCUCCUUCCUCCUUCGGACGUCGCCGUUCGUCAACGACUCCGGCGCUGUCGAUCCUCCCCGAGCCCGCCUUUGCACCCCUACGGGAUCCCAGUGAGCCGCCCGUCCAAUCCCUCUGUCCCUCCCCUUCGUUUGCAUGCCGUAGGCCGCCAUCACCGUCGUGCUCGAACUCUCGCGUACGCGUACAUGCGUGCAGCUGCUGCGCUGCUUUGCUUGCGACGCUGCUGCUGCUGUGGCCCGCGCCUGCCGCUGCCGCCCAGUCCUCGCGCCGGCCGCGCCCGAGCCACCCCCGCACUUGCUCGGCUGCUGCUGAUGCUUUGCUGCUGUUGCGUCCUCGCUGCUCGCCCCUGAUGGCACUGUGUGCUGCCGCCUGCUCGCCCACGGCCGUGCCUGCUGCUGUCGGCCAGCCUCACCGCGCCCAUUGA
rnacentral:rRNA from 1 species